GAGUUUGAUCCUGGCUCAGGACGAACGCUGGCGGCGUGCCUAAUACAUGCAAGUAGAACGCUGACUACUUUAGCUUGCUAGAGUAGAAGGAGUUGCGAACGGGUGAGUAACGCGUAGGUAACCUGCCUACUAGCGGGGGAUAACUAUUGGAAACGAUAGCUAAUACCGCAUAACAGUGUUUAACACAUGUUAGAUGCUUGAAAGAUGCAAUUGCAUCACUAGUAGAUGGACCUGCGUUGUAUUAGCUAGUUGGUGGGGUAACGGACCACCAAGGCGACGAUACAUAGCCGACCUGAGAGGGUGAUCGGCCACACUGGGACUGAGACACGGCCCAGACUCCUACGGGAGGCAGCAGUAGGGAAUAUUGCACAGUGGGCGAAAGCCUGAUGCAGCAACGCCGCGUGAACGAUGAAGGUCUUC
rnacentral:rRNA from 1 species